CCUACGGGUGGCAGCAGUGAGGAAUAUUGGUCAAUGGGCGAGAGUCUGAACCAGCCAAGUAGCGUGAAGGAUGACUGCCCUAUGGGUUGUAAACUUCUUUUAUAUGGGAAUAAAAUGUUCCACGUGUGGGCUUUUGUAUGUACCAUAUGAAUAAGUAUCGGCUAACUCCGGGCCAGCAGCCGCGGUAAUACGGAGGAUCCGAGCGUUAUCCGGAUUUAUUGGGUUUAAAGGGAGCGUAGGUGGAUUGUUAAGUCAGUUGUGAAAGUUUGCGGCUCAACCGUAAAAUUGCAGUUGAAACUGGCAGUCUUGAGUACAGUAGAGGUGGGCGGAAUUCGUGGUGUAGCGGUGAAAUGCUUAGAUAUCACGAAGAACUCCGAUUGCGAAGGCAGCUCACUGGACUGCAACUGACACUGAGGCUCGAAAGUGUGGGUAUCAAACAGGAUGAGAUACCCUAGUAGUC
rnacentral:rRNA from 1 species